GACGGAGGAUGCAAGUGUUAUCCGGAAUCACUGGGCGUAAAGCGUCUGUAGGUGGUUCGAAAAGUCCACUGUUAAAAAUUGAGGCUUAACUUCAAAGAUGCCGUGGAAACUUUCAAACUAGAGUAUGGUAGGGGUAGAGGGAAUUUCCAGUGGAGCGGUGAAAUGCGUAGAUAUUGGAAAGACCACCGAUGGCGAAGGCACUCUACUGGGCCAUUAUUGACACUGAGAGACGAAAGCUAGGGGAGCAAAUGGG
rnacentral:rRNA from 1 species